AGCCUGAACGCUGGCGGCGUGGCUAAGACAUGCAAGUCGUACGGGUGUAGCAAUACACCAGUGGCGGACGGGUGAGUAAUGUAUCGCUAACGUACCCCGGAUUCUGGGAUAGCUGCCCGAAAGGGCAGGUAAUACCAGAUGAUAUAUCCUUUUCGCAUGAAGAGGAUCUCAAAGGGAAACCGUUCUGGGAGCGGGCGAUAUCGUAUCAGCUAGUUGGUGAGGUAACGGCUCACCAAGGCGACGACGCGUAGCCGGACUGAGAGGUUGGCCGGCCACAUUGGGACUGAGACACUGCCCAGACUCCUACGGGGGGCUGCAGUAACGAAUCUUCCGCAAUGCACGCAAGUGUGACGGAGCGACGCCGCGUGUGGGACGAAGUCCUUCGGGAUGUAAACCACUGUCAGGGGUUAGAAGUUCUGAUCAACCCCAGAGGAAGGCACGGCUAACUCUGCGCCAGCAGCCGCGUAA
rnacentral:rRNA from 1 species